rnacentral:rRNA from 1 species
AUUGAACGCUGGCGGCAUGCCUUACACAUGCAAGUCGAACGGCAGCACGGGAGCAAUCCUGGUGGCGAGUGGCGAACGGGUGAGUAAUAUAUCGGAACGUGCCCGGUCGUGGGGGAUAACGUAGCGAAAGCUACGCUAAUACCGCAUACGAUCUACGGAUGAAAGCGGGGGAUCGCAAGACCUCGCGCGAUUGGAGCGGCCGAUAUCAGAUUAGGUAGUUGGUGAGGUAAAGGCUCACCAAGCCGACGAUCUGUAGCUGGUCUGAGAGGACGACCAGCCACACUGGGACUGAGACACGGCCCAGACUCCUACGGGAGGCAGCAGUGGGGAAUUUUGGACAAUGGCGCAAGCCUGAUCCAGCAAUGCCGCGUGCAGGAUGAAGGCCUCGGUU